rnacentral:rRNA from 1 species
AACGAACGCUGGCGGCAUGCCUAACACAUGCAAGUUGAACGAGAUCUUCGGGUCUAGUGGCGCACGGGUGCGUAACGCGUGGGAAUCUGCCCUUUGGUUCGGAAUAACAGUUGGAAACGACUGCUAAUACCGGAUGAUGACGAAAGUCCAAAGAUUUAUCGCCAGAGGAUGAGCCCGCGUAGGAUUAGCUAGUUGGUGUGGUAAAGGCGCACCAAGGCGACGAUCCUUAGCUGGUCUGAGAGGAUGAUCAGCCACACUGGGACUGAGACACGGCCCAGACUCCUACGGGAGGCAGCAGUGGGGAAUAUUGGACAAUGGGCGAAAGCCUGAUCCAGCAAUGCCGCGUGAGUGGUGAAGGCCUUAGGGUUGUAAAGCUCUUUUACCCGGGAUGAUAAUGACAGUACCGGGAGAAUAAGCUCCGGCUAACUCCGUGCCAGCAGCCGCCGUAA